rnacentral:piRNA from 1 species
UUGUGAAUUUCGUAGGCUUGUCGACGC